rnacentral:rRNA from 1 species
GACGAGCUCUCCAAACGUUAUUCGGUAUUACUGGGCUUAAAGAGUUCGUAGGCGGUCUUGUAGGUGAGGUGUGAAAGCCCUCGGCUUAACCGAGGAAUUGCGCUUCAAACCACAAGGCUUGAGGGAGGUAGGGGUAUGCGGAACAGAUGGUGGAGCGGGUUGAUAUCAUCUGGAACACCGGUGGCGAAAGCGGCAUACUGGACCUUUUCUGACGCUGAGGAACGAAAGCUAGGGUAGCGAACGGG